rnacentral:rRNA from 1 species
UGGGGAAUAUUGGUCAAUGGGCGAAAGCCUGAACCAGCAAUGCCGCGUGAGUGAUGAAGGCCCUCGGGUUGUAAAGCUCUGUCAGUGGGAACGAAUAAGCCGGUUAAUACCCGGUGGUGACGGUACCCACAAAGGAAGCACCGGCUAACUCUGUGCCAGCAGCCGCGGUAAUACAGAGGGUGCAAGCGUUGUUCGGAAUUACUGGGCGUAAAGCGCGUGUAGGCGGCCUGAUAAGUCGGUUGUGAAAUCCCUUGGCUCAACCAAGGAACUGCAUCCGAAACUGUCGGGCUAGAGUGUCGGAGGGGAUGGCGGAAUUCCCGGUGUAGAGGUGAAAUUCGUAGAUAUCGGGAGGAACACCUGUGGCGAAGGCGGCCAUCUGGAAGACUACUGACGCUGAGACGCGAAAGCGUGGGGAGCAAACAGG